rnacentral:rRNA from 1 species
AUGGAGAGGCUGCUGCUUACAUUGAACCGCCUGCGCCUGGUGUUCGCGUGGUUCAUCACCGUCCUCAUCCUUGACCUGCCAUGCUUCUCCCUACUGAAGAAACCAUGUGUACAGCUUGAUUUCCUCAAAAGGAGAAAAGGUAGCUCAAACCUAUUUAGCUACACACAAAUAUCAUUUUCAUCGAUUAAGGUCACAGUGCCACACAGAUCUUCGAUCUUGAUCCAUAUUUCCUGGGCUUUCCCCCAUGAGGUUCUUCUAAACCUAACACUAUCCCAGCCCUGUAACCGUAUUCACCAGCGAGGGAGGCACUUCAAGGAUUUGAUCAACAGUGAAGUCAAUGUUGGUGCUUCAGCACUCCAGAGAUACUAA